UACGGGGGGGGCAAGCGUUGUUCGGAAUUACUGGGCGUAAAGGGCUCGUAGGCGGCCAACUAAGUCGGACGUGAAAUCCCCAGGCUCAACCUGGGAACUGCGUCCGAUACUGGAUGGCUUGAAUCCGGGAGAGGGAUGCAGAAUUCCAGGUGUAGCGGUGAAAUGCGUAGAGAUGUGGAGGAACACCGAUGGCGAAGGCAGCCCCCUGGGCUAACACUGACGCUCAUGCACGAAAGCGUGGGGAGCAAACAGG
rnacentral:rRNA from 1 species